rnacentral:tRNA from 1 species
GGAGGAGUGCCCGGAAUUGGUAACGGACCGGUUUCGAAAACCGGCGCCCGCAAGGGCUUGUGGGUUCGAGUCCCACCUCCUCCG